rnacentral:rRNA from 1 species
UACAGAGGUGGCAAGCGUUGUUCGGAAUUACUGGGCGUAAAGGGCGAGUAGGUGGCCUUCUAAGUCAGACGUGAAAUCCCCCGGCUUAACCUGGGAACUGCGUCUGAUACUGGAAGGCUUGAGUAUGGGAGAGGGAUGCAGAAUUCCAGGUGUAGCGGUGAAAUGCGUAGAUAUCUGGAGGAAUACCGGUGGCGAAGGCGGCAUCCUGGACCAUAACUGACACUGAAUCGCGAAAGCUAGGGGAGCAAACGGG